GGGUUGUGAGGUUAAGCGACUAAGCGUACACGGUGGAUGCCCUGGCAGUCAGAGGCGAUGAAGGACGUGCUAAUCUGCGAAAAGCGUCGGUAAGGUGAUAUGAACCGUUAUAGCCGGCGAUGUCCGAAUGGGGAAACCCAGUGCAAUUCGUUGCACUAUCGUUAACUGAAUACAUAGGUUAACGAGGCGAACCGGGGGAACUGAAACAUCUAAGUACCCCGAGGAAAAGAAAUCAACCGAGAUUCCCCCAGUAGCGGCGAGCGAACGGGGAGCAGCCCAGAGUCUGAAUCAGCUUGUGUGUUAGUGGAACGGUCUGGAAAGUCCGACGGUACAGGGUGAUAGUCCCGUACACCAAAAUGCACAGGCUGUGAACUCGAAGAGUAGGGCGGGACACGUGGUAUCCUGUCUGAAUAUGGGGGGACCAUCCUCCAAGGCUAAAUACUCCUGACUGACCGAUAGUGAACCAGUACCGUGAGGGAAAGGCGAAAAGAACCCCGGCGAGGGGAGUGAAAAAGAACCUGAAACCGUGUACGUACAAGCAGUGGGAGCACCUUCGGGUGUGACUGCGUACCUUUUGUAUAAUGGGUCAGCGACUUAUAUUCUGUAGCAAGGUUAACCGUAUAGGGGAGCCGCAGGGAAACCGAGUCUUAACUGGGCGUUAAGUUGCAGGGUAUAGACCCGAAACCCGGUGAUCUAGCCAUGGGCAGGUUGAAGGUUGGGUAACACUAACUGGAGGACCGAACCGACUAAUGUUGAAAAAUUAGCGGAUGACUUGUGGCUGGGGGUGAAAGGCCAAUCAAACCGGGAGAUAGCUGGUUCUCCCCGAAAGCUAUUUAGGUAGCGCCUCGUGAACUCAUCUUCGGGGGUAGAGCACUGUUUCGGCUAGGGGGUCAUCCCGACUUACCAACCCGAUGCAAACUACGAAUACCGAAGAAUGUUAUCACGGGAGACACACGGCGGGUGCUAACGUCCGUCGUGAAGAGGGAAACAACCCAGACCGCCAGCUAAGGUCCCAAAGUCAUGGUUAAGUGGGAAACGAUGUGGGAAGGCACAGACAGCCAGGAUGUUGGCUUAGAAGCAGCCAUCAUUUAAAGAAAGCGUAAUAGCUCACUGGUCGAGUCGGCCUGCGCGGAAGAUGUAACGGGGCUAAACCAUGCACCGAAGCUGCGGCAGCGACACUAUGUGUUGUUGGGUAGGGGAGCGUUCUGUAAGCCUGCGAAGGUGACCUGUGAGGGUUGCUGGAGGUAUCAGAAGUGCGAAUGCUGACAUAAGUAACGAUAAAGCGGGUGAAAAGCCCGCUCGCCGGAAGACCAAGGGUUCCUGUCCAACGUUAAUCGGGGCAGGGUGAGUCGACCCCUAAGGCGAGGCCGAAAGGCGUAGUCGAUGGGAAACAGGUUAAUAUUCCUGUACUUGGUGUUACUGCGAAGGGGGGACGGAGAAGGCUAUGUUAGCCGGGCGACGGUUGUCCCGGUUUAAGCAUGUAGGCUGGUUGUCCAGGCAAAUCCGGAUAAUCAAGGCUGAGGUGUGAUGACGAGGCACUACGGUGCUGAAGUAACAAAUGCCCUGCUUCCAGGAAAAGCCUCUAAGCAUCAGGUAACAUCAAAUCGUACCCCAAACCGACACAGGUGGUCAGGUAGAGAAUACCAAGGCGCUUGAGAGAACUCGGGUGAAGGAACUAGGCAAAAUGGUGCCGUAACUUCGGGAGAAGGCACGCUGGUGUGUAGGUGAAGUCCCUGCGGAUGGAGCUGAGACCAGUCGAAGAUACCAGCUGGCUGCAACUGUUUAUUAAAAACACAGCACUGUGCAAACACGAAAGUGGACGUAUACGGUGUGACGCCUGCCCGGUGCCGGAAGGUUAAUUGAUGGGGUUAUCCGUAAGGAGAAGCUCUUGAUCGAAGCCCCGGUAAACGGCGGCCGUAACUAUAACGGUCCUAAGGUAGCGAAAUUCCUUGUCGGGUAAGUUCCGACCUGCACGAAUGGCGUAAUGAUGGCCAGGCUGUCUCCACCCGAGACUCAGUGAAAUUGAACUCGCUGUGAAGAUGCAGUGUACCCGCGGCAAGACGGAAAGACCCCGUGAACCUUUACUAUAGCUUGACACUGAACAUUGAGCCUUGAUGUGUAGGAUAGGUGGGAGGCUUUGAAGCGUGGACGCCAGUCUGCGUGGAGCCAACCUUGAAAUACCACCCUUUAAUGUUUGAUGUUCUAACGUUGGCCCCUGACCGGGGUUGCGGACAGUGUCUGGUGGGUAGUUUGACUGGGGCGGUCUCCUCCCAAAGCGUAACGGAGGAGCACGAAGGUUAGCUAAUCCUGGUCGGACAUCAGGAGGUUAGUGCAAUGGCAUAAGCUAGCUUGACUGCGAGCGUGACGGCGCGAGCAGGUGCGAAAGCAGGUCAUAGUGAUCCGGUGGUUCUGAAUGGAAGGGCCAUCGCUCAACGGAUAAAAGGUACUCCGGGGAUAACAGGCUGAUACCGCCCAAGAGUUCAUAUCGACGGCGGUGUUUGGCACCUCGAUGUCGGCUCAUCACAUCCUGGGGCUGAAGUAGGUCCCAAGGGUAUGGCUGUUCGCCAUUUAAAGUGGUACGCGAGCUGGGUUUAGAACGUCGUGAGACAGUUCGGUCCCUAUCUGCCGUGGGCGCUGGAGAAUUGAGGGGGGCUGCUCCUAGUACGAGAGGACCGGAGUGGACGCAUCACUGGUGUUCGGGUUGUCAUGCCAAUGGCACUGCCCGGUAGCUAAAUGCGGAAGAGAUAAGUGCUGAAAGCAUCUAAGCACGAAACUUGCCCCGAGAUGAGUUCUCCCUGAGACUUUAAGUCUCCUGAAGGAACGUUAAAGACGAUGACGUUGAUAGGCCGGGUGUGUAAGCGCAGCGAUGCGUUGAGCUAACCGGUACUAAUGAACCGUGAGGCUUAACCUUACAACGCCGAAG
rnacentral:rRNA from 1 species